GACGAACGCUGGCGGCGUGCUUAACACAUGCAAGUCGAACGGUGAAGCGCCUUCCUUUUUGGUGGGUGUGGAUGAGUGGCGAACGGGUGAGUAACACGUGAGUAACCUGCCCCCUUCUUCUGGAUAACCGCAUGAAAGUGUGGCUAAUACGGGAUAUUCUGGGUCUGUCGCAUGAUGGGUCUGGGAAAGAUAUUGUUUCGGUGGGGGAUGGGCUCGCGGCCUAUCAGCUUGUUGGUGGGGUGAUGGCCUACCAAGGCGGUGACGGGUAGCCGGCCUGAGAGGGCGGACGGUCACACUGGGACUGAGACACGGCCCAGACUCCUACGGGAGGCAGCAGUGGGGAAUAUUGCACAAUGGGCGCAAGCCUGAUGCAGCGACGCCGCGUGAGGGAUGGAGGCCUUCGGGUUGUGAACCUCUUUCGCCAGUGAAGCAGGCCUGCCUAGUUUGUGGGUGGGUUGACGGUAGCUGGAGAAGAAGCGCCGGCUAACUACGUG
rnacentral:rRNA from 1 species